AAAGAGAAAGGCACUACUCCAAGAAGCGAAAAGGGUUUUAUGUUGAGAUUUCAACAAAAAUCUCAUCAAAAAGCAGGUCAGCACAAUUUUGUAGUUGGCUUCUGUGCUUGAAUCCUAAGAAAAUGCUGACCACCCAGUCUGACAUUCUCCAACUCUUACAUUUCUUGUGUUCCUAGAUUUGACAUCAUAUCUUGUGUUUAUUCCCAAGAUUAAAUCUUCAGCAUAUCCACACACUCCCCCCUGACGCGGAUCACAGACUAUUAUGAACUCGUUCUUCCAGAUUGAUGUUCCUUAUAUCUGCCCGAAUAGGAGUGCCACAAAAGGAGGGUCAAGGGCUUCACCGGUUAACCGCUUUGACGAGGUACCCUAUAAUGCCUCUUGCCUGGGAGAAAGAACCUUUCACCUCAUCUCAGUGUCAAAAUUUAACCUUUCUCAACUUUAAUUACACUAAGUAAGUUUGGAGUGUGCCGCGGUGCUGUCUGCACGACUCAGCUCCAUCCU
rnacentral:lncRNA from 1 species